rnacentral:rRNA from 1 species
AGGAUGAACGCUGGCGGUGUGCCUAAUACAUGCAAGUCGAACGAGAUCUUCGGAUCUAGUGGCGGACGGGUGAGUAACACGUUGGUACCUACCCCGAAGUGGGGAAUAACUGCCCGAAAGGGUGGCUAAUACCGCAUAAUACCGCAAGGUUAAAGCAGUAAUGCGCUUCGGGAGGGGCCUGCGUCCCAUUAGCUAGUUGGUAGGGUAAUGGCCUACCAAGGCGACGAUGGGUAGCUGGAUCGAGAGGUUGACCAGCCACACUGGGACUGAGAUACGGCCCAGACUCCUACGGGAGGCAGCAGUAAGGAAUCUUCCACAAUGGACGAAAGUCUGAUGGAGCAACACCGCGUGCAGGAUGACGGUCUUCGGAUUGUAAACUGCUUUUAUAUGGGAAGAUUAUGACGGUACCAUAUGAAUAAGGACCGGCUAACUACGUGCCAGCAGCCGC